rnacentral:misc_RNA from 1 species
UCCGGCUUGACGCCGGCAGUCCCCCGAGAGUCCUCAGCUUGACCUGUUAGUAACACGGGGCAAGGGUUGCGCUCGUUGCGGGACUUAACCCAACAUCUCACGACACGAGCUGACGACAGCCAUGCAGCACCUGUCUCUCGGUUCCCGAAGGCACCAAUCCAUCUCUGGAAAGUUCCGGCAAUGUCAAACCCAGGUAAGGUUCUUCGCGUCGCAUCGAAUUAAUCCGCAUGCUCCGCCGCUUGUGCGGGCCCCCGUCAAUUCCUUUGAGUUUCAGCCUUGCGGCCGUACUCCCCAGGCGGGGCACUUACUGCGUUAGCGACGGCACUCAGAGGGUCGCUCCCCCAAGCACCUAGUGCCCAUCGUUUACGGCGUGGACUAC